GAUGGGUCACACACGAACCAAAACAUGACGUACACAAGCACACAUACAGCAGCCUUUUCUUACAAAUAAUACUACACCUCUUCUUCCUGCGGCUGCAUUUCUAUAAUUGGCAUCUCAUGAUCAGGAAAGAUGUUAGGAAUGUGAUUGAAGAAGCAUAAGAAAGCUACGAGUGAAGCAAGCAUGUUGACCAUACAGUACCACAAAAUAUCAGCGAGAAGAACCCACAUGAGUACCUCACAUCCAACUAUUCCUGAAAGGUGGAAUAUUAUGACUGGACCUUGCAAGUUCGUGUCUG